rnacentral:tRNA from 1 species
GUUUCUGUAGCUUAAUAACUAAAGCACGGCUUUGAAAGUGCCGAGAUGGGUCGCUCAACACUCCGGAAACA